rnacentral:lncRNA from 1 species
UAAAAUAAAUGUAUUAUUUUCAACCUAAAACAUUAACUUGAAGCUUCAAUUUUAUUAUGUCAAUCAAACCUUCAUUUUGUUCUUAUAUAAGUUAUUAAUAAAUAUAAUUAUUUUGGGAUGUAACAUAAUCUAAUAGAUUAUAAAACCUGUAGGCUUUAUCAUUAUGUAGUUUUUGUAUCAAUACAAUCAUGAAAUUUACAGACUACAUCGUGGGAAGUUAGCCAUAUCAAUGGUAUCAUCAUCCCCGCCUCACUCACUUAUCACCCCAGCACUGCUGGAAACAGUUCACAUAGAAAGUACAUGUUUUCCUAAUCCCCCGACCCACCGUUUCAUCGAGUCGCGAUAAUCAACUUCAAGCUGGAUUUCUCUGCAUGUUUGGAUUAACAGGUGCAAGAUCAGAGCUAAAGUACCUUCACCUUGACAAAUUUCACUGUGUUACAUUAGCAAGAUGUCCUUGGCGUGCUGAAAUCAUUCGCCAUGAGAAUGUUGUAUGCCAAAAACGACUUCUGCUUGCUCCUUUCGGCUAACCCACAUCCUGAUACCAGCCAAAACAGAACUGUUGGUUUAGAUUCGAACAUCUAUAUAUGAAAUAUGAUGUAUCUUUAUUCUUCUCUAGACUGAUAGCAAGACUUGUGAUUAUUUAGCAUGGGUGCAUAUUAAAAUGAUGAAGAUAUCGGUAUUAAAUAUCAACUGAUGCAUUUUGUGUUUGCUAGUAAUGACUCGAAGUCGAAGAUUCCUUUUACGACAUAGCAGGAAAAAAGGAAAAAGGAAAAGCUUCAACAUGUUUUAUCUCCUACCUUUCAAAGACAUAUUCUCUAAUAGGUUUCAUUUGAAAAAAAAAUCGUCAAGAAACAGAGAUAGUGAGACUACUCCUCACCCAAUGGGUGUAUGUAUGCUGGAACAACAAUAAAGAAAAUGGCACAAGUGGCAAAACAGAGAAACCAUGUAUAAGGAAAAUCAACUAAUCUGGUGGCACAGUGAAUGAAGAACAGAUGGCUCAAAUAUAUAUAUAUAUAUACAUCUAAUGAAUAUUGACAAACUACUGAAAGAGAGUAUGUGUUUGUUCUUACAAUGAACAGGAGCUUGGGUGAUCGUUGGUGCCUCACGAGUAACAGUUUGAGUUUGUCCUGAUGCACUGCAAGUUGCAUUCUGCUGGAAAAAAGGAAAAAUCGAGUAUAAGCACGCGCAAAGCACACACAAAGCACACACAAAGCCAUAACAUACGUGCACGCAUGUAAUGAUUUGUUUCACUAAAUCUAAUAUCAGGAUUUAAUACCGUUUACAUUGACAAAAAGAUUCCAUUGGCAACAUAAUUCCAAAAUAUAUAAACAGGCAUUUAAAAACUUUUAGAUCAAACAUCAAAUUUACUGGCAAUGCUGCAAGAAAGCUGCUUCACCGCUUCAAAGUUGUUAUCGUCGAGGGAGAAACUGCUCAGUCUAUCAACCAUGGCAUCCUCAGUAACUUGAUCAAAUUGGUACCUAUUCCUGAACAACAAGUAGCCCCCACAUUCCCACACAGAGCAUCUUUAAAUAACAAAACAUGGAUGUUACAAUUGUAAAUAGAUGAUGCAUGCAAUGCAUUACGUUAAGAGCAACUGAUGUAGAAGCAGAAUUGAUCAGACCAAUACCACAAAUCUGUUUGAUCUUUCAACGUUUUUUAGUGGACAGGAAAACUAGAAUAAAUGUUGCUAUAUGCUACAGAAGAGAGGGGGUGAGGGAAUAAAUGUUGUUUCAAUAGAUGGUGACUUACGACCGAGAUUCAAAUCUCCAAUAACUAUAAUCAAAUGACUCAACAUAGUCAUAUAGGGAGGAAGAAUACAAAAACAGCAAAAAGCAAAGCUAGCAUGCAAAUGAUCCAAAUGGCUAUCUAUACAAAGGCACAGAAAAUAUUAUUUGUGAUGCAGAAAAGCAAAGGGCUAUUAUCGAAUGUUUGAAUAAACUGUAUCAAGUCGAGUGGUUCAACAGAAAAUCCCAUAUUCCCCUUACUGACUCUUCAUUUUUCUUAUAAUAUAAUCCUACAAAGUUAUGGAAAAACAUAAAAGAAAAUAUUGAAUAAAUUCGUAUCAAACACAUUCGAAAUCACUCCUAAGUUCAGAAAACAUAGCCUUUAUUAUAAACAAAAAAAAUUCAGAAAUUAGUUGAAAGUAGCAAAUAAUUAAGGAUUUAUGGUAAAAAGUUUGGUGAGAAAAGGUCCUGAAAUGGUUAGAGAAGUAUUCAUUACUACUUCAACAACCAGCCACCAAAUUUCAUUAUUAUUAUUAUUUUACAAACAGAGCCCUGUUAGAUGCUAAUUUUCAUUGCAAAAUUGGAUUAAAAGCUUGUUAGCUUUACAUUUCAUUUGGUAAACUAUGUUACAUUGUGUUCUAAUGUUUGAUUUUGUAUGGAUUGAGGUUCAGUAUAUAAUUAUUCCACUAACCCCCCAACCUACCCAUGGAAACGAAGAUAAAAAAAAUUAAACUUACAAAAGCAGCAAAUUCUGAAAAUAGAAUAAAUAAUUUAAAGAAAAUGGAAGGAAAAAAAACUGCAAAAUUCAGUAAAAAAAUAGAACAGAUUAGAAAUCCCAGGAAGAAGAGAAACCAGGCAAUUUAAGUCUAUCAAAGUUACUAAUACCAUGAAAGAGUCUGUAAAGAUGGAGAACUAACCAGGAAAUAAGGCAUGAAAAUGAUUUGUUUGAUAACAAGCCAUUGAAGAGCAUAGCCAAAAAACCCAAAGAAAGCAGCCAUGAACAUCACAACCCACAACGGGAAAUACAGUAAAAACACCCCAGAACACUUACCGAAAAAAGAGGAUGGAAAGAUACAGUGAAAAAGCACUUACCGAAACAAUGGGGCCGGAGACCUGAGACGGUGGAGUCGGGUGGAGGUGAUUUCGCUAGCAGCUGCUGUUUGAAGUUGGGAGGGAGAAGCUGGAGGUGGAUUUCGAGUUGGGAAGGCAAAUCAGGGCGUG